UACGGGGGGGGCAAGCGUUGUUCGGAAUUACUGGGCGUAAAGGGCUCGUAGGCGGCCAACUAAGUCGGAUGUGAAAUCCCCAGGCUUAACCUGGGAACUGCAUCCGAUACUGGAUGGCUUGAAUCCGGGAGAGGGAUGCAGAAUUCCAGGUGUAGCGGUGAAAUGCGUAGAUAUCUGGAGGAAUACCGGUGGCGAAGGCGGCAUCCUGGACCGGCAUUGACGCUGAUGAGUGAAAGCUAGGGGAGCAAACGGG
rnacentral:rRNA from 1 species